AGCACACAUCUUGUAGCUUACAACGCCUCGCUUAACCACACCCCUACGGGAGACAGCAGUGACAGAAAUUAAGCCAUAAACGAAAGUUUGACUAAGCCAUGUUGACCAGGGUUGGUAAAUCUCGUGCCAGCCACCGCGGUCAUACGAUUAACCCAAGCUAACAGGAAUACGGCGUAAAACGUGUUAAAGCACUACAUCAAAUAGAGUUAAAUUCUAAUUAAACUGUAAAAAGCCAUAAUUACAACAAAAAUAGAUGACGAAAGUAACCCUACUGCAGCUGAUACACUAUAGCUAAGACCCAAACUGGGAUUAGAUACCCCACUAUGCUUAGCCCUAAACACAAAUAAUUACAGAAACAAAAUUAUUCGCCAGAGUACUACCGGCAACAGCCCGAAACUCAAAGGACUUGGCG
rnacentral:rRNA from 1 species